AUUCAAGUUUCCAUAUUAAGUCAAAUAAAGGAUGGUACAAUCCUAGCCCUGACGGAAAUGGAUGUAAAAGUUUUGUUUUGUUUGUGUUUUUUACUGCAUUGCAAACAAAUGGCAUCGUUUUUCUCAGGAAAAGUUUUGUAUUCAACAUGCACUUCGAUUAAAGAGUUUGAUAUUGAAACACGCAAUGUGACUAUAUUGGUAGAACAAGGACGUUAUUGUGUGUAUGCCAUGGACUAUGAUUACAAAAACAGAUUCAUUUAUUUUCCAAUAUAUGGUACCCGUGACAUUGUUCGAUUUGCAUAUCCCUCAAAGAAUAUAACAUUACAGACAGUUAUCCAGUCAGUGGCAGGUCCAAUUGGAAUAGCUGUUGAUUCAGUCAAUGCUCAUAUCUACUGGCUUGAUUAUAAUAACAACAUACUCUCAAGAUGCAAUCUAGACGGAAGCAAUGCGACUAUAUUAUCAAAUCCUAUUACUCCUUUUGUGGUACAACUUGAUGUUACAA